rnacentral:rRNA from 1 species
CAGCCGCCGCGGUAACACCAGCACCUCGAGUGGUCAGGAGGUUUAUUGGGCCUAAAGCAUCCGUAGCCGGUUGCAUAAGUUUUCGGUUAAAUCUAUGCGCUUAACGUAUAGGCCGCCGAAAAUACUGUGCAGCUAGGGAGUGGGAGAGGUACACGGUACUCGAUAGGAAGGGGUAAAAUCCUUUGAUCUAUUGAUGACCACCUGUGGCGAAGGCGGUGUACCAGAACACGUUCGACGGUGAGGGAUGAAAGCUGGGGGAGCAAACCGGAUUAGAUACCCCCGUAGUCCCUGUCUCUUAUAC